rnacentral:tRNA from 1 species
GGGGAUGUAGCUCAGUUUUGGGAGAGCGCAGCAUUCGCAUUGCUGAGGUCGGGGGUUCGAGUCCCCUCAUCUCCACCA